UACGUAGGGUGCAAGCGUUGUCCGGAAUUAUUGGGCGUAAAGAGCUCGUAGGCGGUCUGUCGCGUCUGCUGUGAAAACUCGGGGCUUAACCCCGGGCCUGCAGUGGGUACGGGCAGACUAGAGUGCGGUAGGGGAGACUGGAAUUCCUGGUGUAGCGGUGAAAUGCGCAGAUAUCAGGAGGAACACCGGUGGCGAAGGCGGCGUCCUGGACCAACACUGACACUGAUGAGCGAAAGCCAGGGGAGCAAACGGG
rnacentral:rRNA from 1 species